rnacentral:lncRNA from 1 species
AACAAACACUUAACGGUUGGAAGAAAUUGUAGGAGAGAGGGUUGGACAAAUUUAGAUUAAUCCAAAUGAAUUUCAAAUUGUUCGGAUUGGUAAAAAAGUCAUCCGAACUAAAAUCCGAUCCGAACAUAUUCGGAUCGGAUGAAUAGUUUAGAUUAAUUCAUAUUUGGAUCGGUAAUAUCAUAUUGAAAUAGAAUUUUGAUGUGUUCAAAUAAAUCAGAUGAAUCCAAAUCACUUUCAAGUUGCAAUACAAAAUUAAAAUUCAGCAAGCCAGCAAAUGGAAAAAAGAAAGACAGAAAAUGAAACUGUUCGUUUUAACAUCAGAUCUUCAGCAACAAUUGCAUUCCAAAAGGAGGAAAAGCUAAAUCAAACAAUCAACUUUACAAUCACCAAAAAGGCAAAUAGUAACGAGAAUGAAAUGCAGCAAAAUUGAAAACAAAUUCACAAGCAAUCUAAAAGACCCAAACCUCUGCGAGUUUUUCAAAGUAUAUCUUCUUUACGAGCUUUGAUGGAUCCUACUCCAUUGGAAACCCUUGCAAUAACAAAUAAAUGUUGCAGCUAGUUUUGGGACUUCAACUUUUGCUUGCGGCUUUAGCUAGUAGCGUGGUAGCGUGCGGUUCACGGGCUCAGCGGUUGUUGGUUGGGACGUUAUCGGCGUGAAGCUAGCACAUCGAUGACUUGAGUCUUGACAACUAGUUGGCUUUCUCUCAAAGAGAUUGGCUGGGUUCGUGCGGCUGCAAGUGGUUAUUCGAUUCUUUGGCUAGGUUCGUGCGGUUGCAAGUGCUUCAAUUCUUUGUUUUCUGAUUUGGGAUUUUAGGGAUUUGAUGAUUUAUGCUUUUUCUUUUUCUUUUUUAUUUAUAAUUUAGGUAUACAUUUUUUCAAUUGCAUGUGCAAUUCGAUCGAAUUGAUCCGGAUUUGAUCUGAUUUGAAUUAAAUCCAAUAUGAUUGCCAAAUUCUUAUCCAACCGAAUUAAAUCUGAAUACGAUACGAACAAGAUCGGUUCGCAUCGGAUCAGAUUAGAUCAAUUCUAAUCCGAUCUGAUACCUAGCCCUAGUAGGAGAGAAGAGGAAUGAAAAAGAAAGAAAAUGAGAGAAAAAGAGUGAAAAAGAGAGUCAAUUUCAAUUUCAUUUUUAUUUUACAUGGAUUUCAUCUUUCUCC